rnacentral:lncRNA from 1 species
CGCCCCUUUUCUUUUUGAAGAUCCACUUACACCCUAUGGAUUUUAUCCUUUCAAGUGGGUCAAUCAAUGUCCAUACAUUGUUGAUUUUUAUGGACUCCAUUUUGGAUUUUAUGGCUUUCAGCCACUUAUCGGUGUCAGACCUCUGCAUCGCAUCCAUAUAGGUGAUCGGAUCCUCAUUGUUCUCAUCGAGUUCAACUGGAUCUCCAUCCUGGACUAAGAAACUGUAUUAUCUAUCUGG